rnacentral:rRNA from 1 species
AACGUAGGAGACAAACGUUAUCCGGAGUUACUGGGCGUAAAGGGCGUGUAGGCGGUCUGUUAAGUCUGGCGUGAAAGCUCUCGGCUAAACCGGGAGAGGUCGUUGGAUACUGGCAGACUAGAGGACGGUAGAGGCGUGUGGAAUUCCGGGUGUAGUGGUGAAAUGCGUAGAUAUGCGGAGGAACACCGAUGGCGAAGGCAAUCCCCUGGGCCUGCACUGACGCUCAUGCACGAAAGCGUGGGGAGCAAACAGG